GUCUGUGUGGAGUUAUAUGGAGUCUGACCUGCCCGUUGAAGAAAUUUGAAAGGCCGCGGUAUAUUAACUGUGCAAAGGUAGCAUAAUAAUUAGUUUUUUAAUUGGAAACUUGUAUGAAGGGUUGGACAAAGAAAAGACUGUCUUUAAUUUUAGUUUUGAAAUUAACUUUUAAGUGAAAAGGCUUAAAUAAAUUUAGGGGACGAUAAGACCCUAUAAAUCUUAAUAUUAUUUUAUUUUCUUUAAAAUUAAUAUUUGUCUAGGGUAUAGAGUAAAAUAAAGGAUAUUUUGUUGGGGUGACAAGAAUAAAAAUUUAACUGUUCUUAAUUUAAACAAAGUUAUUUGUAAAAAAAUUAAUAGAUCCUUUUUAGAGAUUAAGAGUUUAAGUUACUUUAGGGAUAACAGCGUUAUUUUUUUUGAGAGUUCUUAUCGAAAAAAAAGUUUGCGACCUCGAUGUUGAAUUAAGAUUUCUCUGUGGUGCAGUAGUUACAGGAAGAAAGUCUGUUCGACUUUUAAAAUUUU
rnacentral:rRNA from 1 species